UCUCUGCCAUGCAACAAUAUUCUCUGUUGGCUGAAAUAGACAUAGAAUUAUUAUAAACUUAAAAAAAAGAAUGAUUUUUUACACUACAAUAAUUACCUCUGAUAACUUGAGAGUAGCAACUACACCUAAUUGAUUAUAAUUCCAGUUUACAUAUUGUACACCCAUGGAUUGUCGUACCAGUGAAUUUGAACCAUCCGCUCCAAUCUAUAAUGAUUUAGAAGUGCAAUAUUUAUUAAAAAUUAAUGGCAAUUUAAUAAGACAUGAUUGAAUAAAGAAUUAAAAUCUUGUGCAACGAUAAUGGCAGUAUUAUGCCUGUAGGAAGGGGAAGAGUUAAGAGGGACUAGCAAUAUGUCUGGAAAUAACUUCAGUUCUCUGUCAGACUUCAGUAGAAGUACUAAUCGCAUUUUAAACUACUUUAUACUUGGCCUUGAAGAAAUGCAUUACUUUGUAUACACUGUUCUAAUAUUAUUAUAAAUAUUUCGACUUUGUAUUGAUGCAUAUGUACAUAAUAACUAUGUAAUUUUAUAUUUAUACAAACAUGGUAAUUUAAAAUAUUGUGUAAAUACAAUACAUGAAUUGUGCAACAUACCAUGUACACACAUUGUUUAUUAUGGAGAAAAAUUUAAGUGCAAUUAUUUCCUCAAAGGAUGUUGUUAUCAGAUAUAUGAAUAAGUGUGUCUUGGAAGUGAAAAACGUAAUGUGCAGAUAAAUUGUAUGCACCAAUCUUUAAUUUUAAUAGCAGAAGAAAUAUCGUGUAGAAGAAAUAUUUUGUAACAAGGAAUUUCCUUAGGCUCCAUACUUGUAGUAAGAAGCAGUGCAAGCUAAAUAUAUGCCAGUUCUGUUUUAUAAACACCAAGGAACAUGUGUGGUUUUCUUCUGAACUGUACAGUCAACUGAAAUAGUGUUUAAGUAUUUGAGUCUUGAGGCAUGUAGUAUACAAUAUGUGAAUACUUUUACUUUUUAUAUUCUGGAUAAUGAUAAAUAACAAGAUGAUGUAACUGUUUGAGUUCUCAAAUAUCCUUUAAAAGAUUCAUAAGUGGAAUGUCAAUCCUAAAAAAGAAACCUCUUCUAAGUAAACUCUUAAACAACCGUAUUUCCGAAAAAAAUACAAAUACAGCUAAUGUAAUGGAAACACCCUCUAUUAUUGUUAGUGACACUGAAGACUGUGAACACAUUUGGAUGAACGAUAUAGAAAAUAACAGUAUAAGUUCAGAAAACAGUUCUGACUCGGUCGCCUAUCACAUAAGAGAGAGGCAAAUGACCAAAGAACAACCAUGGAGUAAAGAGGAAAUUAUUUCAGCUCUUUCUAAUCUACCAGCUGGAGAAAAUGCACUUUCCGUUAUUCCAACUCUAUACGGUGAUACAUGGCGUAAAACUUUAAAUGAAUUUUUAAAUGCUGAUGGAAAUAAAAUGGUAUUACAUGCUAAGAAUAUUUCUACGUCUUCAUACGAAUAUAGACACAUACAAAAUCCAUUAUUAAAUUUUGAACACGAAGCGCCCGGUAGUGUGACUGUUGCACGACUUUUAAAGAGAUGGCCAAACACUUAUCUUUUGGUUUCUUGCUUUCUGGGUCAUAUAGAGUUGGUAAAAGCUCUGUUAGACAAAAAUGUAAAACCAUCAACUAGAGACAGCGACGGCAGGACACCGUUGCAUUUAGCAGCCUGUGCGGCUUCAGUAAAAAUUUUAGAAGAGUUAUUGAAGCAUGGUGCAAAUCCAUGUGAGUGGGAUUUUAAUAAAAAGUAUACACCCCUGCAUUGUGCUGCUGCCACUGGAGAUGUCUAUUGUGUUAAAUGUUUAAUAAAAUCAGGAGCAGAUGUAAAUGCCGGAUUAUCUGGAAAAAGUCCUCUUUACUAUGCUGUUUUAAGUAAUGCAAGAGAUUGUGUUGAAGUUUUAUUACAAGCAGGUGCUUCUCCCAACAACCCUCAGGUUUAUACAGAAACACCCUUACAUGUAGCAGUUAGUCUGGGUUCUGUUACAUGUACAACAUUACUGUUAAAAUAUGGAGCAGAUGUGAGAGUCCAGUUUAGUUCUAUGAAGUCAACACCGUUGCAUUUAGCAGCGGAAGAAGGUAGUGCAGAAUGCACAAAAUUAUUAUUAGAUGCUGGUGCUGUAUGCGAAGUAAAAAAUUCAAGAGGGCAAACACCACUGCACUUGGCAGCCUUAUCUCAAUCGGCAGAAACCUUAGAUGUACUUAUAAAUGCUGGUGCAAAUGUUAAUAUAGAAGAUAACGACGGGCGCACUCCUUUGCAUGCUGCUGUUGCAAAAGCUACUAGAGGAAUAGAGUUGGUCAAGAUUCUAUUGCAGGCUGGUGCUUCGAUCAACAAACCAGACAAAUUUGGCUAUACACCUUUACAUAUUGCUGCAUUAAACGAAAGUUCAUCAACAGUGAUGAUGCUAUUAUCGAAAGGAGCAGAUGUUACUGCUAGAACGAGAGGUGGUAUUUCUGCAUUGAGUUUUAUUGUACGCAGAACACCGGAUGUGUUACCACGAUUUAUAUCGCGUUUAGACCAAGCAAUUUCUUUACACGACCACGAAUUGGGAGAUGUUGAUUGCGAGUUAAGAUUAGAUUUUAGACCACUGGUACCAGGUGGUAGAGGGGAAAUGGAUUUAAUGCUAUGCCUUGCAGAAGUUGGACAAAGACAUGUAUUAAAACAUCCAUUGUGCGAAAGUUUUCUUUACUUAAAGUGGUUAAGGAUUCGUAAAUUUUUCUUAUUAAGUUUGAUAUUUCAUUCCAUUUUUGUUGCCUUUUUUACCGCAUAUAUUGCAGUUACAUACUUUUGGAACAUUGAGAAACUCAGAAAAAUACUUUUCUGGCCAGUGUUGAUAUUUACCAUAAGUCUUGCCUGUAAGGAGUUCUUUCAAAUGGCUCAUGGCUUAUGGUCUUAUAUCAAGGGAUGGGAAAAUUGGCUUCAAUGGAGCGUUGUUUUAGUAUCAAUUGUAGUAAUAAUUAUGCCAAUUUAUAAUUGGCAACAUCAUGUAGCAGCACUAGGCAUACUACUAAUUUGGAUAGAGUUAAUGAUGGUAGUUGGAAGAUUUCCAAUGUUUGGUCUUUAUAUACAAAUGUUUACACAAGUCUCAAUUAACUUUUUUAAAUUCCUUGGUGCUUAUAUGUGCCUUAUAAUCGGUUUCUCUUUAGGCUUUACUGUAUUACAUAAAAAUUAUAAAUCUUUUGCCAAUCCUUUGGUUGGUUUAUUGAAAACUAUCAUAAUGAUGUCUGGAGAAUUAGAAUUUGAAGAUGUAUAUUUUGAUGAAAGUGCACCAGUAUUAUAUUCAGGUACAGCACACUUAAUGCUCCUAAGUUUUGUCAUUUUAGUGACAGUAAUUCUGACGAAUUUAAUGAUGGGCCUAGCAGUAUCAGAUAUACAAGAAUUACGAAGAUGUGCUGGAUUAGAUAGAUUAGUACGCAGAGCAGAGUUAGUAGCACACUUGGAAGGUAUGCUAUUUUCUAAACUUUUGGAUCAUGCUCCAAGUAGAAUUAUGAAAAUGUGUAGGCGGGGAGCGCUUCUUUUACGUCCACCGCAUCACUGUGCGCUUCAUAUACGUCCAAAUGAUCCGCGUGAAAAACGUUUACCAAGGGAAUUAAUAAAGGCCACUUAUCGUUUAGUAAGUGAAAGAAAAAAUCGUAGUAUAAAUAGAAAUACUUCUAUGCGUAAGAGAGCAAAUACAGAAACUAGUAGUUACAGAUUAAGUAGACUCUACAGCACUGGUUCAGCCAGUGAUAACAAUCAACAAUUAAAUGAAUUAGUUGCCGAAUUAAAAAGAUGUUCAUAUAGUAUUAGCACACACUUGGACAACUUAACUAACAAAGUAGAAGGCGUUAUUAGGGAUUACAGUAACUGAGUAAUAUACGUGAUACCUAAUACAUUAUAUUUUUUAUGUACUUACCAAUAACUUGGUUUUGUAUUUUUUUCCAUUCUGCAAUUGUAUUUUUGCAGCCUCCCCUUCAGUUUUAGGCAACUUAAUAUUUUCAACUUUAGAGGCAUAAACUAUGUUUACGUUUUCUUUCUUUGCAAGUUGCUUAUUUACUGCAUGUAACAACAAAUCAUUUUCAACUAUAUAAGCAAUUUCUUCUGAUAAAUGAUCUUCAUUGAAUUCAAUCAUUGCAUCAGAACAGGCGUCCCACACCUAUUAAAAAUUUUAUAUUUAAUGUAAUGUAUAUAACAUUAUUGUAAAGUAUAAAACAUAAGAUUUUUUAAAAUACUUUUAUAUUCUACUUUAUUCCAAUUUUCUAAUAUACCUGCAUUUUUCGUACUGGGCAAUGUCUUAUCGCUUCUAUAUGUUGCCAUGCUCCUAUGCUUGAAAGUAAGGUACGUGUCUGUUGAUUCAAAGCAACUACACGAUUAGAAUAUUGUUCCUGGGGUUGGUACGUAACUUUGUUGCUGCCUUCUAGUAAAAGGACCUUUCUGCAUUCGAGUCUUCUAUUAUUGGCUAGCACAAUGAAAAAGCAUUACAUAUGAUUGUGACGAAUGCAUAAAUUUCUAAACAAUGAUCAUUUAUUACAUAUGACUUAAAUAUUAGGAAAAGAGAAGCUAACCUAUUGCACAGGCAAGUGUAGUUCCAACCAUACCACCGCCGACAAUAACGAUAUCAUAAUUUUCUUCAUUUUGCGGAAUUGUGCAAAGAUGUUUGGCUGCAAUCGUUGUUGUUCCAAGAGUGGUAGAUCUCGUUGGAAUUUGUAUUAAAUUUUUAUAACAUGAAAAAUUUUUUACGAGAGCCGCCAUUUUUCACAUUUCAUACUAAAAAUUAUAUAUACAUUUGAAGAAAAUCGUAGAUAACGAUAAUAAAUUGAAG